rnacentral:rRNA from 1 species
UACAGGGGGUGCAAACGUUGCUCGGAAUCAUUGGGCGUAAAGCGCACGUAGGCGGUUCGUUAUGUCGGAUGUGAAAGCCCUUGGCUUAACCGAGGAAGUGCAUCCGAAACUGGCGAGCUAGAGUACGAAAGAGGAUCGCGGAAUUCCCGGUGUAGAGGUGAAAUUCGUAGAUAUUGGGAAGAACACCGGUGGCGAAGGCGGCUCACUGGCUCGUAACUGACGCUCAUGCACGACAGCGUGGGGAUCAAACAGG